CAGCUAAAUUUACAAUAUGGCGGCCAAUCCAUUCAUGUCGGGACCAAAUCAGCAACAAAGAUUUCCACCUCCUCAGCCCCCAUCGGGUUCUCCUAUGAGACAGUUUCCAGGAGGAUAUCCGGAGUCCACAAAAGCAAGUACAUCAACGAGUUCUAGCUCGACGCCCGCGUCUGGAAGCAAACAGAUCAAGACCAGUGGUGAAACAAUAAAACCGAAG